rnacentral:rRNA from 1 species
CAGCCGCCGCGGUAAUACCAGCCCCGCGAGUGGUCGGGACGGUUAUUGGGCCUAAAGCGCCCGUAGCCGGCCCGGCAAGUCCCUCCUUAAAGCCUCGGGCCCAACCCGAGGACGGGGGGGAUACUGCCGGGCUAGGGGGCGGGAGAGGCCGGCGGUACUCCCGGGGUAGGGGCGAAAUCCGUUAAUCCCGGGUGGACCACCAGUGGCGAAGGCGGCCGGCUGGAACGCGCCCGACGGUGAGGGGCGAAAGCCGGGGGAGCGAACCGGAUUAGAUACCCGGGUAGUCCCGGCUGUAAACGAUGCGGGCUAGCUGUUGGGCGGGCUUAGAGCCCGCCCAGUGGCGCAGGGAAGCCGUUAAGUCCGCCGCCUGGGGAGUACGGCCGCAAGGCUGAAACUUAAAGGAAUUGGCGGG